UCUUUUCCCACAUAACUCAGAGAGAAAGUAAUUAAUUAGGGAGGGAACUUGCCUGACCCCAUUGCCCUUGAGACACGCCCCUGUAAACAUCACCAAUGGACUGGAGAGGCCGCCUCUGACUUCCAGGGUUUAUAUAAACAAAAGAAGAGAUAUUUGGCAACAGCACCACAUUCCCACAUCUUGCAUGUGUAGCGGAGGCUGAAUGAGAUGUGUAGGAUAGCAGUCAUGCAGUCAGCUGGGAGAUGACUGUUGUAUUCUGUAAGGGAUCUGGGGUCUUGCAGAGGGGAACGGGUGUCUACUCAGUGAGUUCUCAGUACCAACUACUAAAAUGUUAGCGAGUUAUUCUUGUGUAAUACUCAGUAAUGCCAAUUUGCUUCAGUUCCUGAAGAAAUUAAGGUUUGCUCAGAACGGCAUGGAAGGUUCUCAGCCUUGAGCUAAUGUAAGCCUUAAACAGGAUACGCCACAUCUGGACUGUGUCAAACACGGUGAAGAUAAAUGCCUCUUUGUGCUGUGUAAUUUUCUCUCUUUUCAAACUUUAUCUUUGUUACACUGUUUUGAUUAAUCUUAAUAUAUUGCAGGAAAGUGGAUGUAAAGGAAGGAGAGAGAGUUAUGGUACCUUUAGUACAGAAAGCCACGUUGGUAGCAGAGAGGCCAUCACAUUCCUUAAGAAAGGAGGGAAAUAGAAGACUCCCAAGAGACAUUUGGAGGUUUUUAAGCCUUAUCAGAACAGAAAACUGAAGGAGGAACAGCUAACAUUGGCAAAGUACAAAAAGAAUUUGUUACAUUCUGAGCUGCGUAGAUCGAUGUGAACAGAUGAAGAAAUGUGAUAAGUUUGUCUGCCUUUCUGGAUCUCUGUCUUGGGGUCUCUCUGUAAUUCUUUUCAGCUUGCAGUUUUUUUUUGCUUCAGCUCUCCGCUGCCUACCAAGUUGCAUCAACACCGUACCUCAGUUGUAAGGAGCUUCUGGAGCAACAUUUACCUCCUCUGACUUUGGCUGUCUUCAUGUGACCUUGUCAUCUGCACUUCUUUUGUCAUUGGUGAAAAGACAUGGGUACCUGCAGGGUUUGAAGUACCAAGCCUACUCCAGCUGCCUACAUGAGUCGGAAUGGAUGAUAUCUGUAAGUGUCAAUGUGUCCUCACUGGCUAUAAAAUAUGCUUGAGAAAUGGCCACUCUUGGUCCAUCUCUCCCAGUUAUUAGACGUAGUGCUGUAUUUAUUUACUGUGCCUUUACCAUUGUCCUUGUUGGCAUUCACACACUUUUACUCCCAGCUCAUCAUUCUCUAUUUCUGCAUUUUUCAGUGUCGGCAAGGAAGCCUGGACUUCUCCACAAAGCAGUUCUGUUCCAGAAAGACUGAGGGUCAACAGCGUGACCUGACUUACAUAAGAGAAGUUAGGAGUUAUCUGUAGUUGACUGCACUGUGCACAACACUGUGGCUGUUCUGUUCCAGAACUCUUCAUGGCAGCUGUACACUCAGGUCCCUCCAUUGGGUUCAAAGAAUUCCUCUAUGAGCUCAUAAAAUAGCAUAUGAAUCCAAAGACAACAUUUCUGGGUUAGGAAACCCCUGAGUGCAGAUAACUGGUAGUUGGAAGAUAGUAUUUGCCCUGUUAUUCCAUUGUUCCUUAGGCACCUGAUGUUGGCUGCUGCCCAACGCGAUGCUGCACUGGUGAUUCGCUGGAAAGACCUGUUAUGACCAUUUUUAUGUUCUCAUUUUCAAAAGCAUCUCUCUGAACAAAACCUCAGGUAUAGUUACCUAAUGGGAUCUCCUUCAUCUCUUCUACUUCUAAGAAUCCUCAGCUGUGACUGUAGGUUAAGGUAUCUGAUUCUACUACUCGCUCUACUGGCAAUAUUCAGGCUUCCUAACUUCUGCAAGUCAUAUGCUGAGGAUAAACUGGAGGAUUCUGCUUUUGCUUGAGAGAAAUACCUAUUAUACUGCAGAGGAUGGGUUCAGUACUCACAGGUUUUCUUUAUUCAUGAUUUAUGACUGCUCCAAGUACAGACUUCCUUCUUGCUCUUUGAUUAGCAAGUUCUAGCAGCCGAGCAAAGUCACACAAUUUAUUGCUGCUAUAGAGGUUAAUGGAUCAAUUUACAUGUUGAUAAUGUCUUAUUAUUGCCUUGGUAUUAAAAUGAAUGUAGCCCAGACACCAGGACUCGGCAGUAACUUCAAGCAUGUUUGUUUGAUUACAGCAAGGAUGCAAAAUGCAGCGUGCAGAGUACACUUGGUGGUUAAAACAAAUUCAUCACAACCAAGUUUUACACCCAACCAUCUUUUUACUCCCUGCAAAUUACCCUUCUUUUCCCCACAUUGCCUGCAUUGACCAUGAGAAUGGCUAUUGCUUAUCAGUAUUGAAGGUGUGAGAAAAUAACAAGGUUAAUGGUGUGACUGCUGCAAGAUAGGACCAGAAAUAACACCUAUCUGUGCUAGAGUGUGUCAGGAGUAGAUGCAAAGGUACCCUUGGCACUGAAAAUCUGCAUCCUAAACAGUCAUAGUCUGAAUUAUUCAGCUGCUGUGUUGAAGUACUAUAUUUAGAAUGGAAUAAAUCACCAUGUUGGAAUUACAAAAGUUAGAUUUCUACUCUUUUUUAUGCAGAAUGGUGCCACUCAAUUUUCUUCAUGUUCUUUUUGUCCAUUUCCCUGUCUGCAAAAUGAUGAGGAAAAGUGUUGUAUCAUAUCA